GCUUGCCCUGGACAUUGACAGAGAGGCUGACGACCACAACAAGUACCUGGAUGGAAUGGUGAGACUAAGCCGAGUAAUACAUGUCCAUUCUCUCAUGUAUUUGGCAUUAUUCUAGGGAUGGAAUUCUAUAGAUUAGAAAACAUACGGGUUUCUAGGUGUGUUUGAUCUCUAGCUGCUCUUAUCCUCUGCAAGAUAUAGAGCAUGGCAAAUGGUAGUUCUUCAGCUGUUUGUAACUACAACUCCCAUGAUUCUUUGUAAACCAGCU